rnacentral:rRNA from 1 species
AUUGAACGCUGGCGGCAGGCCUAACACAUGCAAGUCGAGCGGCAGCGGGAAAGUAGCUUGCUACUUUUGCCGGCGAGCGGCGGACGGGUGAGUAAUGCCUGGGGAUCUGCCCAGUCGAGGGGGAUAACUACUGGAAACGGUAGCUAAUACCGCAUACGCCCUACGGGGGAAAGCAGGGGACCUUCGGGCCUUGCGCGAUUGGAUGAACCCAGGUGGGAUUAGCUAGUUGGUGAUGUAAUGGCUCACCAAGGCGACGAUCCCUAGCUGGUCAGCGAUGAUAAUCAGCCACACUGGAACUGAGACACGGUCCAGACUCCUACGGGAGGCAGCAGUGGGGAAUAUUGCACAAUGGGGGAAACCCUGAUGCAGCCAUGCCGCGUGUGUGAAGAAGGCCUUCGGGUUGUAAAGCACUUUCAGCGAGGAGGAAAGGUUGGUAGCUAAUAACUGCCAGCUGUGACGUUACUCGCAGAAGAAGCACCGGCUAACUCCGUGCCAGCAGCCGCCGUAACAC